UGCCAGCCGCCGCGGUAAUACCGGCGGCUCGAGUGGUGGCCGCUUUUAUUGGGCUUAAAGCGUUCGUAGCUGGGUUGUUAAGUCUCUUGGGAAAUCUGGCGGCUUAACCGUCAGGCGUCUAAGGGAUACUGGCAAUCUUGGAACCGGGAGAGGUGAGGGGUACUUCGGGGGUAGGRGUGAAAUCCUGUAAUCCUCGAGGGACCACCUGUGGCGAAGGCGCCUCACCAGAACGGCUUCGACAGUGAGGGACGAAAGCUGGGGGAGCAAACCGGAUUAGAUACCCGGGUAGUCCCAGCCGUAAACUAUGCGCGUUAGGUGUAUCGGUGACCACGAGUUACCGAGGUGCCGAAGGGAAACCGUGAAACGUG
rnacentral:rRNA from 1 species